UUAUGAUACCCCGCUUUCUGCCCACCCAUUUCUUUGUUGGCUGAAUAUUCCUGAGGACUGUCUCUUUCCCACCAUCCGGGUUCCAUCCUUCCUUUCUCACGCUUAUGUGGUUAGACUGUGUUCAUCUCUAAAGUUUAUCAGUAUCGUGACCUCAAAGGCCAGCUUAGCUGUCGAACUGUCUGCUUCAGAGAGUGUCCUGCUCAGUGUGAGAUAGUAAGGGACAUCGCUGGCGCCUCUACUCAAAUGUCUGUUGGACCUCUUCUCUUGGUUUUGAUAUCCACACUUCUCUAUGAGGACCACGGGAGUGUUUGAGGCUUCAGUGACAUCUCAGGGCUUACGUCCUUCUCUACCUGGCAUGACCACCGAGAUGAAGGCACCAUUAAACCUCUCAGGCAAGCGGGUUGCAUCUUUGGAGCAGUUGCCUCUUAUCACGUAUAAAUCUGAUCUAUCUGCGGGGCGCCUAUAGACAUUCAAAUAAGACUUCUGAAGAUUCACACCAGAUGAAAAAGGCUCUUUUACUGGAGAAUUAUAAACCACUAAUCCCUUGCCAUCCAUCAAGUUC